CGAGCGAACGGACGAGAAGCUUGCUUCUCUGAUGUUAGCGGCGGACGGGUGAGUAACACGUGGAUAACCUACCUAUAAGACUGGGAUAACUUCGGGAAACCGGAGCUAAUACCGGAUAAUAUUUUGAACCGCAUGGUUCAAAAGUGAAAGACGGUCUUGCUGUCACUUAUAGAUGGAUCCGCGCUGCAUUAGCUAGUUGGUAAGGUAACGGCUUACCAAGGCAACGAUGCAUAGCCGACCUGAGAGGGUGAUCGGCCACACUGGAACUGAGACACGGUCCAGACUCCUACGGGAGGCAGCAGUAGGGAAUCUUCCGCAAUGGGCGAAAGCCUGACGGAGCAACGCCGCGUGAGUGAUGAAGGUCUUCGGAUCGUAAAACUCUGUUAUUAGGAAAGAACAUAUGCGUAAGUAACUGUGCACAUCUUGACGGUACCUAAUCAGAAAGCCACGGCUAACUACGUGCCAGCAGCCGCGGUAAUACGUAGGUGGCAAGCGUUAUCCGGAAUUAUUGGGCGUAAAGCGCGCGUAGGCGGUUUUUUAAGUCUGAUGUGAAAGCCCACGGCUCAACCGUGGAGGGUCAUUGGAAACUGGAAAACUUGAGUGCAGAAGAGGAAAGUGGAAUUCCAUGUGUAGCGGUGAAAUGCGCAGAGAUAUGGAGGAACACCAGUGGCGAAGGCGACUUUCUGGUCUGUAACUG
rnacentral:rRNA from 1 species